CAGGCGCUGUGGCACUCGCAGCAGCGCAGAAGUACCGGGCCGCGUCGCUCCCCUGCACUGAGGCUUUCCUCAGGUGGAAGGAAGACUCGCUCUUCUUAAACUCAGCCUCAAAGCCUCUGAUGCCGGGAACCCGGGAGUCCCCUGAAACGUACUUGAGGAGAAGCUGGGGGCCUUGGCCGGGGUGCUGGACGUACCAGAAGAGAGAAACAGACCCCCCAUAGGAGUAGUUGCACCUCAGCUCCACAGCGGCUCCUUCAGACACAGCGACCUGCGCGUCGGGCUGGGUCACGGUCUGGGCUCUGGUGUCUCCUGGAAAAGCAAUGCGGGCCAUGAGCGCAGUGCCGGGUUCCCCGUGAAAAGUAAGCGUUUCCGGCCAGAACCUGUGGAAGCUGAGACCACAGAGAAACUUUACUCACUCAGGGCCCACUGGAGCCCUAGCACCGGGAUGAGCACCAGGAGCAUGGCCGAGGCGUGGAAACACUGCAGGCUCUUUCUGGAAGAUCUCCCGAGAGCAGGCAGGAGAGUGGCCGCGGACAAGACCUUGGAAACAGGGGUCAGUUAGGAUGCUCAAGCUCCUCUCUUAGAUAAACGCAGAAACGCUGCUAAAAUGAGGCUGGAUGCUUUCUCACUUCAGAUUCUCACCACUUGUCUGUAAAAGAUCUCCCAGAGCUGCAGGGAGGAGGAGCUGAGGAAGGAUGAGGGUCUUCUGCAGAAAUGAGGCCUGGUGUCUGUGCAGCAUCGCCCCCUGGAGGUCAUGUGAGGAACCACGGGUCCUGCGGCCCUACAACUAGUUCUUAAGUUCCUCCUUUUUAAAUAAAAUAUAUCAAAAUCGCUA